AGAGGGGUUCACCCACAGUUUUGGACAGAUGAUGCAUUAGAAUCAUUUCUGUUAUCUGUGGAAUGAGAUUGGGCGGCCUCGAUGGGGGUGGGAGAGGCGACGGUGGAUGAGAUGACGAAGGUGCUGGAGCGGAUGGGGAUGAGAGAGGUGAUAGGGGAGGAGAGGGUGAUGGAGGCGGUGGUGUAGAUGGGGACGAGAGAGAUGGUCGGGGAGGAGAAGGUGACGGUCCUUGAGGUAGAGGAGGGUAGUAUUCAGGAGAGGAGGCCCACCAUGACCGAGGGUAAGAAGCGUGUUUUUGACAUAUGGAGCAGGCGAUCGGUAAGAGGUCGAGAUUGCCGUCGCUGUACAUCGUUUCUCCCUUCACGGUUGAGACGAAGAGGAGAAAGUUCGUCGACGAGACGAUUUCCAACCUAUUUCGGGAGGUGGACCAUGUCAAAUGAAAAGCAAUCGAGACGGAGUGGAGAAGAAUUUUGCCCAGGGCCAACCGCAUGAUCAAUCAAACGACGAUCUCCGAUACUUAUAAAUGGUUCCACAACAUCAUCACUUCAGGAACUUGGCUUGCCGACGAUCACAUCAACUUGGCCAUGGACUUGUUGCGUGAUCGGGUUCAAAGAUAUCCGAGAUCAUUUGACAGUACUGGUCAAGCCAUACUAAAUUUGGAGUUCGGGCGAAAUAUUGACAUUGAGUACCAGUCGCUCCAACUGGCUGGUAAGGAGUACACUCGAAUGGACCAUAGGGAUGUGGCCGCGUGUCGGGGAGAAAUCAUGGGAGGGUUGUACACAUAUAUACGUACCAGUGAUCAUGAAUCAUCACUGCAUAGUUUUGGAAAUUGUGUUCACUGAAUUGACUAUUUAUGCGUACGACCCCGAUCAUUCAUAACUGACACAGGGUCAACUCCAACAAAAUCUAGAGUCCAUCGCUGUUUUCGUCCCUACGAUGGCUAGACGGGCAAACUUGACUGUGUAGGACAGAUUAGCCAUCAUGCGGGACACGACGACAGCGAGGCAAACAAUAUCGGGCGAUUGUGGCAUGUUUGUAAUAAUGUAUAUUGUGUUUUUGAGUACAGGACAUAAAGUUGAUGGAAUCAAUCAAUCUUGGAUACAAAUUUGGAGAUAUAAGUUAGCGUGCAAUUUGUACGACUUUAGUUGUGAUCCGUGAAUACUGUAAAUAUUUUUUUUAAUUACGAAAUGUUUGU